rnacentral:rRNA from 1 species
CGAUGGGCCGACGUCGCAUGCUCCGGCCGCCAUGGUUAGAGUUUGAUCAUGGCUCAGAAUGAACGCUGGCGGCAGGCCUAACACAUGCAAGUCGAACGGGUCCUUCGGGACUAGUGGCGGACGGGUGAGUAACGCGUGGGAACAUGCCCUUUGGUACGGAAUAGCCUCGGGAAACUGAGAGUAAUACCGUAUGUGCCCGGUAACGGGGAAAGAUUUAUCGCCAAAGGAUUGGCCCGCGUUGGAUUAGGUAGUUGGUGGGGUAAUGGCCUACCAAGCCGACGAUCCAUAGCUGGUUUGAGAGGAUGAUCAGCCACACUGGGACUGAGACACGGCCCAGACUCCUACGGGAGGCAGCAGUGGGGAAUCUUAGACAAUGGGGGAAACCCUGAUCUAGCCAUGCCGCGUGAUCGAUGAAGGCCUUAGGGUUGUAAAGAUCUUUCAGAUGGGAAGAUAAUGACGGUACCAUCAGAAGAAGCCCCGGCUAACUCCGUGCCAGCAGCCGCGGUAAUACGGAGGGGGCUAGCGUUAUUCGGAAUUACUGGGCGUAAAGCGCACGUAGGCGGAUUGGAAAGUUGGAGGUGAAAUCCCAGGGCUCAACCUUGGAACUGCCUUCAAAACUUCCAGUCUUGAGUUCGAGAGAGGUGAGUGGAAUUCCGAGUGUAGAGGUGAAAUUCGUAGAUAUUCGGAGGAACACCAGUGGCGAAGGCGGCUCACUGGCUCGAUACUGACGCUGAGGUGCGAAAGCGUGGGGAGCAACAGGAUUAAUACCCUGGUAGUCCCGCCGUAAACGAUAAAGCCAU